rnacentral:rRNA from 1 species
GAUGAACGCUGGCGGCGUGCCUAAUACAUGCAAGUCGAGCGAACGGACGAGAAGCUUGCUUCUCUGAUGUUAGCGGCGGACGGGUGAGUAACACGUGGAUAACCUACCUAUAAGACUGGGAUAACUUCGGGAAACCGGAGCUAAUACCGGAUAAUAUUUUGAACCGCAUGGUUCAAAAGUGAAAGACGGUCUUGCUGUCACUUAUAGAUGGAUCCGCGCUGCAUUAGCUAGUUGGUAAGGUAACGGCUUACCAAGGCAACGAUGCAUAGCCGACCUGAGAGGGUGAUCGGCCACACUGGAACUGAGACACGGUCCAGACUCCUACGGGAGGCAGCAGUAGGGAAUCUUCCGCAAUGGGCGAAAGCCUGACGGAGCAACGCCGCGUGAGUGAUGAAGGUCUGCGGAUCGUAAAACUCUGUUAUUAGGGAAGAACAUAUGUGUAAGUAACUGUGCACAUCUGGACGGUACCUAAUCAGAAAGCCACGGCUAACUACGUG